GACCUCGUAGCUCAGUUGGUAGAGCAUUGGACUAGUAUCCCAAAGGUCGCAGGUUCGAUUCCCACCGUGGUCA
rnacentral:tRNA from 1 species